UUUAUAUCAAUCAAAUUAAGUCCAAACAUGUAAUGCUCUUUCCAGCUGAACAUUGUAAUAGUGUAUGUUACAGACAGAUGGCAGUGUUGCUGUAUUAUUAAACACGACAGUCGACGAUAUCUCUGACUUGGAGGCUGUUUAACCCUGGGAUACUGAGGGACCUUUUGCCCAUCAGCUGCUGCAUCUGAACAUCUGUGGCCUGAGUUCUGGCCCUCCUCAGCAUCAUCUGGUGACUUUGUGAAGCAGCCACGCAGCAGGAGGGCUCUGAUCCACUGGUGACGGCAAACUGUGCAUCAAACACACAGUUUAGCUCUGACCUCUUCACGCUGGUGUCACAGGAUCAGUCCGGAGGGGUUUGGAUGUCGGAUUAGCCAGGCUGAUCAUGUCUGGUGCUUUGCUGAGCUACAUGUGGAGGAAAGAGAGCAUUGUGUAGAAUAUUUUAUUUUUCUGCCGAGAAAGCCAGAAGGUCAAUAUCUCAUGUCUUUGAAGAUAUGGAGAUGGAGUUGGUGUUUUUCUGGAUUUGGCAAAGUUGUUGAUAUCAGCACUUCAGAGACCAUUAAGAGGAAAGCACUGACAGAAGCAGUUGGACCAGAGAGGCUCUCCGUUUAUUCGUGUGUCCGUGAUAAGAAGAAUGGAGCCGUGUUGUUUUGCUGUAUAUCAGUAUACAUGGAUGAUGAGGCUUGUGUUAUAUGAGUGAUAUCAAAUGACGGCCCUUCAUCUGUCCACAGCCCUCCCACCUGAACCCCAAGGGGAGCUGUAUGUGGAAAGGAGGGUGUCCAAAGAGGGAGGGGGCAGGUCAUUGGAUCUUUAGAUAAUCAGUAUGGGCUAAUGACCCCUCCAGAGAGAUUGUGUCUAAUCCACUGAGCCUUUGGGAACACUUCUCUCUACCCCUUACCAUCGCUACUGAAUACUGAAAGUGCGGUGUGCACAUGUGGUGAAGUGGGGGGUGACUACAUUCAGAAACAAUUCACAUGUCUUUACUGGAAGCUAGGGAUGCAACAACGCUGUCUGGACUGCAAAUGAACAACAACUAGUGUGGCUACUUUAGCUAUAGAAAGCAAUUAACAAAAAAACACAUUCUAUUAUAGUCAAUGUUUUGUUUACAUUUAUGCAUUUUGGGGCACCUUUAUGGGUCAGUGACAAAAAUGCAUGCAUCAGGUUUAUUUCAAUGCACAGUGUAUUUAUGUUAAUUAUAUGCAUUCAAAAAUUAAAUUUGCACCAUUUUUAUGAAAGUUCAGACUGAAUGGACCUGAAAAUGUAAAAUGGUGUAACUGCCAAUUGUGCCAAAGAAUGAGAAAUAUUACAUAUUUUAUCCACCUUGAUGGCAUGUAAGCGUAAUCAUAAAUAAAACAUUUUAAAUUA